CCUACGGGUUGCAGCAGUAGGGAAUCUUCGGCAAUGGACGAAAGUCUGACCGAGCAACGCCGCGUGAGUGAAGAAGGUUUUCGGAUCGUAAAACUCUGUUGUUAGAGAAGAACAAGGACGUUAGUAACUGAACGUCCACUGACGGUAUCUAACCAGAAAGCCACGGCUAACUACGUGCCAGCAGCCGCGGUAAUACGUAGGUGGCAAGCGUUGUCCGGAUUUAUUGGGCGUAAAGCGAGCGCAGGCGGUUUCUUAAGUCUGAUGUGAAAGCCCCCGGCUCAACCGGGGAGGGUCAUUGGAAACUGGGAGACUUGAGUACAGAAGAGGAGAGUGGAAUUCCAUGUGUAGCGGUGAAAUGCGUAGAUAUAUGGAGGAACACCAGUGGCGAAGGCGGCUCUCUGGUCUGUAACUGACGCUGAGGCUCGAAAGCGUGGGGAGCAAACAGGAUUAGAUACCCUUGUAGUC
rnacentral:rRNA from 1 species